UGAAUUCGUCGUUUUUGCAUCUUCUGCGCAUUUUUCGUUUCUGUUGUGAUUCAGCUCAUGUGUUCUUGUUCGUCUGGUGUAGCGAUGCUUAAACAAACUCGUUGUUUCAAUUAUUCUUUUGCAGUGUGUGCUGUUGAUUCGAAGAUUCGUGUAUCUUUGCUUUAUGAUAGUUAUUUUCUUCUUAUAUCGAUCAGAAGUCUUAAGGGGUUAGCAGCGGUGAUUAUAAAUAAUUCCUCGUACUGAAUGCUAUUGCCAUGGCAUGACAGACACGAUUACACCCAUAGAAUAUGAGCUCUGCCCCUUUUAUGCAUUCUUAGUUAAGUAUGGUAUGUGAUAUUGCAUCUAAUUAGUGUCAAAAUUUUAAAAUCUUCAACUAUAAAAUAUUAUUUUAUAAUAAAAAUAUAAUUAUACAAUUUUUGGAAUAUUACAAAUUAUGAAUCUUGUUUUCUCUUUAUCAUAUUUUUCAUAUGAAUGUAACUUGUUUAAAUGAUUUAAUAUUUAAAUAAUAAAAAUAAAUAUUUAUAUAUUACACUUUUUUAUGAAAAAAAGUUUAUUUCUUAAAGUUAUUAUCCGUAACACACAAAUCUAUAAAUUAUGUAAUGAAUUAUAUAAAUUGAUAAUAAAAUUUUAUGUGUUUUAAUUAUGUUUUAUUAUUUUACGACUCUUUUAAAAUGAUUUAUUUUUUAUUUUUAUAAUUAUAAUACAAAUUUAUAUAAUAAAUUUAAAUUUUUAAAAAAUUAAUAUAUUGAAUUUUUAAAAAAUUAAUGUAUUGAAUUGGAUAUUUUACAUUAUUUAAAAGAAGUAUCUCAACUUAUUAUCAUUAUUAACUCAAUUUAAAUAUAAAUAAUAAAGCCAUGAAUAUGGUUCAUUACACUCAAUAAUUUAGAAUAUUUAGUAAUACAAAAACAAAUAAAUAAACAUAAUACAUAUAUAUUUUAAAUCUCUCUUUAUAAUAAAAUUAAACAAUGCUCAUAACAUUUUGGGAAAACUUACAAGAAAAUUAUCCAUAUACUUCAGGUAUAAAUAGAUUUUAGUGAUGUGGGAGGGAAAUUUCAUACGUACAAUACAAAAUCAUUUGUUUAAAGAAAUUAAUUUUUUUUUAUUAAAAAUAAUUACAAAAUUCAACCUCCAGAACAAAACCUAUUAACUCAAUUUAAAUAUAAAUAAUAAAGCCAUGAAAAUGGUUCAUUACACUCAAUAAUUUAGAAUAUUUAGUAAUACAAAAACAAAUAAAUAAACAUAAUACAUAUAUAUUUUAAAUCUCUCUUUAUAAUAAAAUUAAAUAAUGCUCAUAACAUUUUGGGAAAACUUACAAGAAAAAUAUCCAUAUACUUCAUGUAUAAAUAGAUGAUUUUAGCGAUGUGGGAGGGAAAUUUCAUACGUACAAUACAAAAUCAUUUGUUUAAAGAAAUUAUAAUUUUUUUAUUAAAAAAUAAUUACAAAAUUCAACCUACAGAACAAAACCUCGUUGAGAUAGUGGGCCACCAUGCACACUACAAAUUUUGCAGAAUGCAAACCCCUUGGGCCCACUGUCCUUCUACAACGGGCUUAUACUUACCAAAAGAAAUUGAGGGAAACAAGAUCCUAAUUAAUUAGUUGUAAACAAAAGUUAAAAAACUCGCCGUUGCCGGGGAUCGAACCCGGGUCACCCGCGUGACAGGCGGGAAUACUUACCACUAUACUACAACGACUGGAUGUUAAAAUAAAUUACAUAUAUUUUAAAUAAUUAUAUAUAUUGGAAGUUCCCCUCGUUCUGUGUCAUAAUGUCAAAGCACUGAACAACUUCUCUACUCUUUCUUCUUCUGUUAUUGGUCAUAAAUCCUAAACUGGACUUGUUUAUUGAUAACCGAAAACAAUUGAGAAGACGCUUGGUGUUGGAGACGAAAUCCCCUUAAGGUACAUUUAAUUUCGUUGUGUUCUUCUUCGCUCUCUUUUUUGUGGCUUCACUCGUGUUCAAUUUUAUGAUUAUGAUUCGGUUGUGGAAGGAUAAUGCAAUCUUUCAUGAUGUUGUAUCGUGCAUUCUUUUUUUUCCCGACUUUCUUCUUUUGAUGUUUUGGAUGCGCUAGUAAUACUGUCCUGCAUCAAUUUCUUUUUUUCUUUUUAGUAAAUUGUAACUAUUAGUUUGUUUGAUUUGUGUUCCUAAGAUAUGAAUUGUUGAGCAUGGUGAAGAAACACUCCAACUUAAUAGGGAAUGUGCAUGUGGAAUGACACUAUAUAAUAUUCAAUCAUUCACACAUCUUAGGUAAGAAAAUAUUAAAGGGGAAUUGGUUCACAAAACUAAAGAGAAUAAAAUCCUUUUUAAUCGAAGUGCUAAUUAAAGAAAAUGUUAAUUUAAUACGAAAGAUAGUUAUUCCUACUUAAUUCUUAAGCUCACCAAGGGGAGUGCAGUAUAAAAUGAAAACAUCAAAUAAAUGUUCAGUGUGCUUACUUUUAUACAAGACUAGAUCAUGGAUUUUUUAUCAUAAAAUAGAUGUAUUUUUCUUGUCAAGAACAGUACACAAGGAGUAGUGAAAUUAUCACUUCCCAAGUAGGAAAAUUUUUAACGAAAAGUUUGAGGAUUUUCUAAGAAUGGAAAGGUUAUCAUCUAUGCAAUAUGCUACAAAUAUGCAAAUGGGAAAAACGCACGCGGAAAUAACACACAUAAUCACAACUCAACUGCAGAAAAAUAAACGACACAAGAUUUAAUGUGGUUCAGUCGCCAACUGCAACUUACAUCCACACGAGCAACUAUUAGGUUUUCAUUAUAUCCUGUUGCACACCAAUUACAAGUACAAUGAUCUCUUUAAAUAGAGAUUAGAAAAGGGACACAAUGAUUAAGCUCACCCACUAAACAUGGUGCCUAGUCAGCCCAACCCAAUUGGUUCUGACUUCAUACCCAACAAUCUCCCACUUGAAGCCACAAAACAAUGUUCACCUGCGCUUCAACUAUGUACGUGGUGUCUGGUCAGCCCAACCCAAUUGGUUUUGACUUCAUACCCAACAAUCUCCCACUUGAAGUCACGGAACAAUGUUCACCUGCGCUUCAACUGUGUACAUGUACUUCUGUAAUCUGUCGACGGAACUCAAUGUUCCACCUCUAGUUGCCACUAGCCUUCUUAAUCAUUUUGAAGACUUUGUUAAAACUCCUCUGAGUUUCAACACGUCAGUCACUGACCCGUUCUCUAUUCGUACUGGCUCUCACUUACUGGAACUGCCGGAUCCUGGAACAACCUGAGAACAAACACUUUCCAUAUUCAACAAGAAAUUUUCUGGAGAAGUUUCAACCGCUGAAAUACUGGUUCUCCUAACUCACUGUCGUCUAGGAACCUCAACUGAAGCACAACCCAUGCUCCCACUGCCACAAGUACCUCUUACUGGUCUACCUGAACCUUUCCAUGCUCGUUCAUCCUGAAUCUGACAUGUGGCUUUGAGUUUCUCUCUUGUAAAGACAACCCUAUUCUGCCCACGAGAUUUUGUGAACCGAACUUUGUUUAUCUUCUGAACUAGGAUGGUCACUCCCUCAGACACGGUAAUCCGACCAUAUACAACUAACAUCUCUUUCUUCCGUAGGCCAUGACAAGAUUUCCCUUGACGACCUUCCACUGCUAAUUUCCGAACUUCACUUCAUGUCCCUGUUCGUCCAACUGCCUAACAUAAAUCAAAUUUUUCCUCAAGCUUGGAACAACUCUGACAUCCUUCAAAGUCCAUAAACCAACUGGUGUCUUCAACACUAUGUCACCCAUGCCCGUAACAUCAAGAGUUUUGUUGUCCGCUAGUCUUACCUUUCUAAAGUCUCCAAUAACUAGAUUCUGCAAUGCUUCAAAAUCCAUGACCCAGAAAUCCACACUGCUAUCCGCGCAACAGACUAAAAAGUCCUCGUCCGCGAAGUCUUCUGCAAUGUUGACUUAUUUAUCAUUAGGGCAUUGAUUCCUGAAAUGCCCCACCUCCUUGCAGUUCCAACAUGUUACACUUGAGCAAUCCCGAGUCUUUGACUGACUCCUUCUUUUGUUCUUGCUCCCACUAUCUUUGAUAUUUCUCUUACCUCUGAUGACAUAUAGCGAUUCACUAGAUAAUUCCCUAAAACUCCUUUUUUGGACAUCCUCGCCAAGAAUGAGAUCACGAAUCUUCUCAAAAGUGAAUCCAUCUGAUCCCGUUGAACUAGUAACUGCUGUAACCAUUCCGGACCAAUUGUCAGGCAAAGACAAUAGCAGUAGUAAAGCUUGAACUUCAUCAUCGAACUUAAUGCCCAUUGACGUAAGUCUGGCUAAGAUCAUAUAUUGAUGUGCUCAUUAACUGAACUCACAAAUCCUCUUCCACAAAUCGAAAUUUGUACCAUCGAAUUUUCAAUUCAGAACUUCCCGUCUUCUGCCAUCUCAAACGACUUGUCGAGAUACUCGGUACAACUAAUUUCAGAUCUUGGCAAUCUUUUUUUUUUAAAUCAAGACCACAAAAAUUGCACCACCCAAAAUCACUCACCAACAGACCUAGUCGCAGUCCCCAUUGCACUGGCGCUCCGCACCACCACCGUCGCUGGUCACCGCUGUUGUGAAGCAAAUCUAGAAAACCCUAAGCCUUAGGACGCUGUUGCAGCCCCUGCAAAACCCUAGCUUUGGGAUGUUGUUGCCGCCUUUGCGAAACCCUAACUUUGGGAUGCUACUGCAACCACAAUUUUCACAUCUCGUCGAUUAAUUUCUGCUGAUCGGAUCUCUAGUGUGUAAACGAACCAAGGCUCUUGAUACCACUUGAUUGAUGGGAAAAACGCACGCGGAAACAACACACAUAAUCACAAAUCAACUGCAGAAAAUUAAACGACACAAGAUUUAACGUGGUUCAGUCGCCAACUGCAACCUAUAUCCACACGGGCAACUAUUAGGUUUUCAUUAUAUCAUGUUACACACCAAUUACAAGUACAAUGAUCUCUUUAAUAAUGAUUAAGUCCACCCACUAAACAUGGUGCCUAGUCAGCCCAAUCCAAUUGGUCUUGACUUCAUACCCAACAUAAAUAUAUAAGAUCAGUCUUUGAAACCUGGUAGUGGAGUGUUAAUAUGAAGGAUUCAUGUUGUAGGAUUAUAGCCAUAGUUGAUUUUUGGAACCCCUGGAAUAGCCUAUAGCAAAAUAUUCAUUUAUAUAUAUAUAUAUAAGUAAAUAAUAUAUUGCCACUGAAAUUAUAAGCUGCUCACUCAGAGAAUAAAGCAAAAGUAUUUUUUGAAGGCAUAAAAUAAAUUUUCCAUUUGGUACAUAUAAAUCCCAGAUUUUUAAAUAAGUGCCCCUUAUUGAUUGGUCUAAAUAAGAACUAUAGAGAUGCAGCUUUCCAAAAGUCAAUUGGUAUCCUUUGUCGAAGCCAAAGAAAAAAUGUAAGCACAAAGAAAAUAGUAAUAAUAGUACUUACAAAAGUUGUGCUCCAAUAAAAACAAGAAAAAGUGUUAACCACAUAUUUUUCCAACACUUUAUUUUUAUAUGAAUUUCAAUUAGGUGUUACUGAAAGCAGGUAGAUAUUUUUAGUGAGUAGAGACUGAUAUAAAUUUAUGCAAUAAUAAAGAGUCAAAUAAUGCAUUGUUAGUAUUUCUCACUAUUAGAAUCCAUGCCUGCAUAGAAGUCUUAUGGUUACGGACACAUGUUAAAAACCUACCUUGGAAAUUGGCAAUUUCUCUCAAAGUGAAUCAACAAGUGAUAAAUCAAUAUUCUUGUCAGUCAUAUUAGAUGAUAACCGAUAGAUGAUUUUAUCUAAGAAUAAUAGUUGAAAGACUCAAGAAGAUACUGAAUUUUUAAUUAGGGUGGAGGUAGAAGAAGCCUAGAAAAACAUGCAAAAGAGUGCAACCUAUACAGUUGCAACAAACUAGAAAAAAGAAAUAGGUUUUCCCUAAAUUCUAGGAUUAUUGACUAACAAAAUAACAAAUAUCUACAUAAAACAGAAUAACAAAUAUCUUUAACAAGCCAUACUAGACAAUACACAUAUUGUUUAAUACAAUCAUCUAUCGUUCUUGAUGACCUUUGUACCAAAAAAGAAAAAUGAAAAUAAGACCUAAAUCCAGAAUAAAAACAACAACAAGAAGAAAAGUUAAAUUUAGAGAAAACGCAAUCAAGCUUUUCACGGGGAAGAGUUUGAUACAAUAUCGACGCGAUGAGAAGAAAAUCAUUACAAGAAGUGAAGAUACAAUCCUGUAAACACAAAAUUUGAUAAAAAAAAAUGAAUAAUAAUACUAUAGAAAAAUCCAAGAAGAAGAUGGAGGAGGAAGAAUCGAGGAAAAACCAGGAGAAAUAGUGCAAGAAGAGAUCAGACGAAGACUAACAUGAAACUUGUCAAUCAAUAUCAAAAAGUACAGAAACAUGGAAUCAAUGUAAGAAAUUAUGUAAAUUAAUUUCUAUAAAAUGACUCACAUGACUUAGAGUUUGGGCUUUGAGCCCAAAUAUGAUUUAAUAAUAAUAAUAGAAUAAAGGGCCCAUUGGUUAACGUGAGAAAUAUAUAUCUGAUGAUAUACCUAAUGAAAAGCUACAUUUGAUGGAGAUUGGGAACUAAAGGAUAUAGGGUUCUGUCUCUGCAAAUAAUAGUUGUCUCACUGUUAACCAUCACGAAAGUGUGUGACAAGAACGGAAUUGCUAAGAGAUAGAUUGGGACAAAGGAGAUAAAGUAAUUGCUCAAUUAGGAUCACUCAUGGAUCAAGGUAAGUGCCUAUUCCUUCUUGAUUGUAUGAUUGUGUGAGAGUCAUGAUAUGAUAAGAUCUAUAUGUGCACAUUAUUGUAUGUGUUCAAUUUACGUUUAUUCAUGUUUAAAACUUACAUGUGGUAUCAGAGCCUCGUUGCUCAUUUUUGUGAUUCUCCAUUAACGCUUACAAAAUUAAAGAACCCUAAUUUUAAAAAUAUUCCCAAUUUAAGAAUCCUAAUUUAAAAUUAGGGUUUAUAGACUAAGAUUUCCAUUACUCUAUAACACAUCGGUAAUUAUCCUAAACCAUCCAAAAAUCAAAGAACCCUAAUUUUAAAAUAAGGGUUUAUGUGUUAAGGUUUCCAUCAACAUAACCAUAAUUUGCACCCAACGCCAUUAACGGUGUUAACACCCUGUACCCGAACCCAUUAUCAGGGUAGCUGCCGGCGCGAAACCGCAAGCCACCGUUGCUCGAGUUUUUCUCCGACGUCGCACGGUGAUCAUUUGGUGGCGCGGUGGUCGUCUCCCUAAACGGGAUCCAACACCUUUGUCCGUGCGACACGUAGUGGUUAACGACUCAACGUGGUUUGGCGGCAGGGUGGUUCAUGGAUUCUUAAAACGCCGUUGUUGGUUCAUUAAGUGAUUAGGGUUUUAUGAUAAAUGUGAAAGGGAAAGUGAACUCUUUACGCUAAUGCAGAAACCUGUGCUUUUGGUUGCUUGAUGCGUUUGGCUCUGCACGUGUGAAUUCGUUCCUGCACCUUAGAUUAAAGCUUAAUUAAUUGUGAAUUCUUUUAUGCACCUAUUGAAUUCAAUUAAUAAUUUACGUUAAUUAAUACAUGUGCACCUUACGUCAUUGACUGCCUUUUGAUUGUGAAUAAUAUGGGGUAGCUUUUUGGUCCCAGUUUUUUUUUAAUUCACUUUACGUUAUCAAUUUUAUUUUAUUUUGAUUAAUGUUUAAUUAAAGUUUUUAAUUCAAAUUUACUUAUGUUAUAAUGUAAUUCAAUUUACAUUUAAAUUAAAGUUUAAUUAAUUAAUUAAAAGUGAGUAACGGAAAAUUAAUUUUUCUGUUUUAUGUAUUUUUUUAAUGUAAUUUAAUUUGCAUUAAAUUAAAGUUUUAAUGAAAUUUUACUAUGUUCAUUAAAUUAAAGUUUAAUUAAUUGAUUGAAAGUGAGAAAUAGAAAAUUAAUUUUUCCGCUUUAUGUAUUAUUUUUCUUUAAAUUAUGAUUUUGGAAUUAUUGUAUGAUAGAUUUGUAAUCACCAAAGUGAUCAAAUCUUUAUGUUUUAUUUAAUUCCAAAUUAUGGAUAAAUUUUAUUUCAAUUAAAUUAUGAUUUUGGAAUUAUUGUAUGAUAGAUUUGUAAUCACCAAUGUGAUCAAAUCUUUAUGUUUUAUUUAAUUCUAAAUUAUGGAUAAAAAUUUAUUUCAAUUAAUGAUAUGAUUUUUGGAAUUAUUUGUAUGAUAGAUUUGUAAUCACCAAAGUGAUCAAAUCUUUAUGUUUUAUUUAAUUCUAAAUUAUGGAUGAAUUUUAUUUCAAUUAGUGAUAUAAUUUCUGAAGUUAUUUGUAUGAUAGAUUUGUAAUCACCAAAGUGAUCAAAUCUUUAAGUUUUAUUUAAUUUCAGAUUACUGAUAAAUUUUAUUUCAAUUACCUAUAGAAUGGAUGCUAAAUUAUUUAUAGAUGGGAAAAUGGAAACUCAUUGUUAUAAGACAUUUUUGGAUCACCCAAAGGUUGAUUAGUUGUCCUUAUAAUUAAUGGAUAUGAUUGUUGGUAGUGAGUAUGUGUUAUUAGUUUUGCUUGUAUAUCCAAAGAUAACAAGUGUUUCUAGUUAAUGCAUAUAUCUUGCCAAAUAAAGUUAAUACUGUUGGGUCUAUUAGUGUCUAAGUUCAAGAGGGGAGGGGUGAAUUGAGCUUAUAAAAUUUUCGCAAGAACACACAAUUUUCAGUAUACCAGAGGCAAAAAGAACAGAUUGUUUUUACAUGAAACAGAUUGAUUCUUCAGAGCAGUCUAGCACAAUUUGAAUUUGUUCAAUAUAAAAUUGUGAUCAACAGAGGAUUAUAACAGAGUCAGAUCAGCUGAAUAUUAUGAGGAUGAAGGAUACAACUAUGCUUAGAGAUCAAACAAAUUUACUCAACACAAGGUUCUAAGGAGAAUGAUUCUUUCUCAAAUUUUAAUGAAUAGACUGUUUGUUCACUGAUCACUUAAACCAUCAUAUACAAUUGCCUUGUUUGUGAUUAGAAAGCUUUAACAAAUCAGGAAGAACAGUUCUUACUUANNNNNNNNNNNNNNNNNNNNNNNNNNNNNNNNNNNNNNNNNNNNNNNNNNNNNNNNNNNNNNNNNNNNNNNNNNNNNNNNNNNNNNNNNNNNNNNNNNNNAGCAAAACCAGAAAUGAGUGCAGGGAUGAGAAGAAAAGGCACACAAGUUUUUAUACUGGUUCACUCAUACAGAGUUACGUCCAGUCUCACCUUACCCCAAGGUGGAAUCCACUAAAAACAGUACCAAUUACUUACAAACACAACAGUUCUUGAAUACUACAAGAACAACACAAUCAAUGCUGAAAAACCCUAUUUCAGCACACCUUGCACUCCAAGAAACCCUAUCAAGGAGUGACUAACACUUACACCUUUACAAACCAGAAUAAAAGAAAGAUUACACCUGAAAAGAAGAUGCAAGAACUCAAAACCAGUAGUUCAAUUUGCUGCAGAACUGCACCAGCACCUUCACCAAGGUCAAAGGUUUCCUAGAACAAGCACACUUGAAAAUCUCUUUGGANNNNNNNNNNNNNNNNNNNNNNNNNNNNNNNNNNNNNNNNNNNNNNNNNNNNNNNNNNNNNNNNNNNNNNNNNNNNNNNNNNNNNNNNNNNNNNNNNNNNAAAAUCUUUUGAUCCUUCUUCUCACAUGGAAAAUGUUUGAUCUCUGUCAAAAACGUAAUUGCUCAGCACCUUUUCACGUGAGAGAGACUUUUCUUUAUAUAGAAAACAGUUUCUAACUUCUUUUCAAAAAACAGUUGAAAAGCAGUUAUGAAAACAACAGAUUCAUUUUUGCACUUAACAAAUUUAUUUUGUGAAAACCGCCAACUCAGCUAACUGAAAUAACUAACUAAGCUUUACAUGUGGUGCCCUAACAGAAUUUUAGAAAAGCCUUUUAACAGAGAAGAAAUAAACCGAUUCUUUCUCCAUAAAACAUAUUUCUUUUUUGUACUGAUUUAAAACUUUUAAGAGCACUUUUAAAAGCUUUUCAAAAACCCUUUAACCACAUCAUGUGCUUGAUCUAUACUUGGUUAGGCAUCUAUGAUAGGUCAUACAACAAAAGGCAACCUUACACAAUUACAAGCCUACUUACAAGAUCAUCUAAACCUAUUACAAACUUCAAAGCAAACUAGCUAUUUUUCUACAUCAAACACACACAACACUAGGUAGAGAAGAGACUUCAUCCAUCUUCAACAAAUACUAGUAGCAUCGUUAUGUUUUGUGUAUUAAUGAAUCUCCCAAAGGAGAACAUUAGUAUACAUAGAAUGUUUUCUGUAUCUGUAUUGUAUGUUUAGUUUAUGACUCGAAGUAUUAAUGUUAAGCAUGUGUGAUCAAGUAUCUGUUCCUGUAGACUUACAUUCGCAAGCUACGUCUAUUCCAGUCUUUAAUGGUCUAAAUUUUUCUGACUGGAGUGAAAAUGUCCAAUUUCACUUAGGUGUAUUGGAUCUUGAUUUGGCCAUUCGAAUCGAGAAACCUGCUGCUAUUACUGAUGAUAGUAGAAAUGAGGAGAAAGCUCAUUAUAGGACUUGGGAAAAGUUAAAUAGACUUAGCCUGAUGUUUAUGCGAAUGAGCAUAGUAAACAAUAUUAAGUCUGCUCUUCCUAAAACCGAGAAUGCAAAAGAAUUUAUGAAAUUUGUGGAAGAGCGCUCCCAAAAAGAUGAUAAGUCUCUUGUUGAGACAUUAAUGAGUACAUCAACCACCAUGAAUGCUUAUUAUGUAUGUUUUGAAUCAAACUUAACGGAAGUUCCACAUAAUUCUUGGUGGAUUGAUUCUGGAUGCAUAACUCAUGUUUCUAACAUGAUGCAAGGAUUCCUUUCAACCCGAACCAUAAAGCCAAAUGAAAAGUUUGUCUUCAUGGGGAAUAGAGAGAAGGUUCCAGUGGAAGCAGUCGGGACUUAUCGUUUAAUCCUCGACACUGGAUUUUAUUUAGACUUGAUGGAUACUUUUUAUGUACCUAGUAUAUCUAGGAAUUUAGUUUCAUUGUCUAAACUUGAUGUUGCCGGAUACUCUUUUAAAUUUGGGAAUGGAUGUUUCAGUUUAUAUCAACGUACCUAUUUUAUUGGAUCUGAUACUCUUUAUGAUGGAUUAUAUAGAUUGAAUCUCGAUAAUUUAUAUGCUAAAACUCUUAUGACCUCGCAUCAUAAUGUUGGCACUAAACGUAGUUUGGUGAAUGAAUGUUCUGCUUUCUUGUGGCACAAAUGUUUGGGACAUAUUUCCAAAGAAAUGAUGGAGAGAUUAGUAAAAAAUGAAAUACUUCCAAGUUUGGAUUUUACUGAUCUGAAUGUAUGUGUGGAUUGUAUUAAAGACAAACAAACAAAACACACAAAGAAGGGAACCACAAGAAGUACUUAACUUCUUGAAAUUAUACACACUGAUAUAUGUGGACCUUUUGAUGUAAGUUCUUUCAAUAAAGAAAGGUAUUUUAUCACCUUUAUUGAUGAUUUUUCACGUUAUGGUUAUGUCUAUUUACUGCAUGAAAAAUCGCAAGCAGUGAAUGCCUUAGAAGUUUAUAUAAAUGAAGUGGAAAGACAAUUAGACAGAAAGGUAAAAAUUGUCAGGUCAGAUAGAGGUGAUGAAUAUUAUGGAAAGUAUGAUGAAAGUGGACAACACCCUGGUCCGUUUGCUAAGUUCCUUGAGAGGCGUGGUAUUUGUGGUCAAUACACAAUGUCAGGUACACCACAACAAAAUGGUGUUUCAGAAAGGCGUAAUCGAACGUUAAUGGAUAUGGUUAGGAGCAUGUUAAGUAAGUCAAUUGUACCUAUUUCAUUGUGGAUGUAUGCUUUAAAAACUGCCAUGUAUCUGUUGAACAGUGUUCCUAGUAAGGCAGUUCAAAAGACACCUUUUGAAUUGUGGACAGGAAGGAAACCCAGUUUGAGACACCUGCAUGUUUGGGGAUGUCAGGCAGAAGUUAGAAUAUACAAUCCACAAGAAAAGAAAUUGGAUGCAAGAACAAUCAGUGGAUAUUUCAUUGGUUAUCUAGCAAAGCCAAAAGGGUAUAUGUUUUACUGUCAUACUCAUAGCACAAGAAUUUUUGAAUCUGGAAAUGCACGGUUCAUUGAAAAAGGUGAAACCAGUGGGAGUGAUACUUCACAAAAUGUGGAGAUUAAGGAAGUUAGAGUACAAGUUCCUUUAACUAGUACCUUUACUUUAAGUAUUGUUGUUUCUAAUGUAGUUGAGUCACUCAACGAUGAAGAAGAACAACAAAUUAAUGAUCAUGAAGUUAACAAUGAACCUGUAGUAGAACAACAAGAAAUAGUAUUAAGAAGUGCUCAAAGAGAAAGAAAGUCUGCUACUUCGAAUGAUUAUGUGGUUUAUCUACAAGAGUCAGAAAAUGACUUAGGUAUUGAUAAUGAUCUAGUUUCAUUUUCAAACGCCAUCAAUGAUGAUAAUUUUGAUAAGUGGUUAGAUGCCAUGAAAGAUGAGCUUAAAUCAAUGGCACAUAAUGAUGUAUGGGACCUUAUAGAAUUGCCAGAAGGAUGCAAGAGAGUCGGGUGUAAAUGGGUCUUUAAGACUAAACGUGACUCUCAUGGCAAUAUCGAACGUUACAAGGCCCGACUUGUUGCCAAAGGUUUUACUCAAAAUGAUGACAUUAAUUAUAAGGAAACAUUAUCACCUGUUUCUAAGAAAGAUUCCUUUAGAAUUAUCAUGGCAUUAGUAACUCAUUAUGAUCUUGAGUUGCAUCAGAUGGAUGUCAAAACUGCCUUUCUGAAUGGGGAUUUAGAAAAGGAUGUUUAUAUGGACCAACCAGUGGGGUUCAUUGAAGAAGGAAAGGAACACAUGGUGUGUAAACUUAAGAAAUCAAUAUACGGGCUUAAACAGGCUUAUAGGCAAUGGUAUCUUAAGUUCAAUGAUACUAUUGUGUCCUUUGGGUUUAAGGAAAACAUCGUUGAUCGGUGUAUAUACCUGAAGGUUAGUGGGAACAAGUUUAUAUUCUUGAUUUUGUAUGUUGAUUGUAUCUUGCUUGCAACUAAUGAUCUUAGUCUAUUAAGUGAGACUAAGAAAUUUCUCUCUAAUAACUUUGAGAUGAAAGAUAUGGGUGAGGCAUAUUACGUGAUAGGAAUUGAAAUAUUCCGUGACAGAUCACAAAGAGUGUUAGGUUUGUCUCAUAAAGCAUAUAUUAAUAAAAUUUUAGAGAGAUUCAAAAUGGAUAAAUGUUCGACAUCUCCUGUUCCAAUACAGAAAGGAGACAAAUUUAGUCUCAUGCAAUGUCCAAAAGAUGAUUUGGAAUGGAAACAGAUGGAGAAUAUACCUUAUGCAUCUAUUGUUGGGACUUUAAUGUAUGCUCAAACUUGUACACGACCAGAUAUUAGUUUUGCAGUUGGUAUGCUUGGAAGAUACCAGAGUAAUCCAGGAUUGGAUCAUUGGAAAGCUGCAAAGAAAGUUUUAAUAUACUUGCAAGGAACGAUUGGAUAUACAAAUUCAAAUUUUGCUGGUUGUGUGGAUACAAGAAAGUCUACCUUUGGUUAUGUGUAUCUUUUAGCCAGAGGAGCGAUUUCAUGGAAAAGUGCGAAGCAGACAGUCAUUGUUGCAUCCACCAUGGAGGUUGAAUUUGUGGCAUGCUUUGAGGCCACAGUUCAGGCUAAUUGGUUGCGGAAUUUUGUUUCAGAAUUUGGAAUUGUUGACAGUAUUGCCAAGCUGCUGAGAAUUUAUUGUCAUAACUCCGCAACUGUCUUCUUUUCUAAAAAUGACAAGUAUUCCAAAGGUGCUAAACAUAUGGAAUUGAAAUACUUUGCCGUUAAAGAAGAAGUUCAGAAACAUAGAGUGUCAAUAGAACAUAUUAGCACUGAUCUUAUGAUUGCUGACCCUUUAACAAAAGGGUUACCGCCCAAAACAUUUACUAGUCAUGUUGUAAAUAUGGGCAUUAUGUCUACUAGUGAAUGAUGAAUGUUGUUAUUAAUGCUUAUUUGACACUCCGAGCUCAUUGAAUAAAUAAAGUUUCUGAAAUUUAUGUUUUCUACUUUUCUGAAAUGACAUGUAACCGCCAUGACUCUUAUUAUUUAUGUAUCCUUGAUUUUGAUUAAUGAUAGAACCAAUUUAUGUAAGGCCUUUUAAAUGCGGAUUUAUGUAAUUAUUAAAUCAUGAAAGUAUUAUAACUCAUAUGAGUCAAGUGGGAGAAUGUAAGAAAUUUUGUAAAUUAAUUUCUAUAAAGUGACUCACAUGACUUAGAGUUUGGGCUUUGGGCCCAAAUAUGAUUUAAUAAUAAUAAUAGAAUAAAUGGUCCAUUGGUUAACGUGAGAAAUAUAUAUAUGAUGAUAUACCUAAUGAAAAGCUACAUUUGAUGGAGAUUGGGAACUAAAGGAUAUAGGGUUCUGUCUCUGCAAAUAAUAGUUGUCUCACUGUUAACCAUCACGAAAGUGUGUGACAAGAACGGAAUUGCUAAAAGAUAGAUUGGGACAAAUGAGAUAAAGUAAUUGCUCAAUUAGGAUCACUCAUGGAUCAAGGCAAGUGUUUUUUCCUUCUUCUUGAUUGUAUGAUUGUGUGAGAGUCAUAUGAUAAGAUCUAUAUGUGCACAUUAUUGUAUGUGUUCAAUUUACGUUUAUUCAUAUUUAAACUUACAAUCAAAGCAAAGAAAAAAAGACUCUUUCUUCCUACACCUCCAUACCUUCUUGUGCCACCCCCAUACUAAAUAUGAAAAUACCAUUUUAUCCUUUUUUUUUCCCACCCCUUAGAUUUGAAAUAAUAAGCCUAUAGAAUAUGUAAUCCAAAAACCGGAUAUAUUCCGGAUUACAUAAUCCGGAAGUCAAUUUCAUAUUUAGAAAAAACUUCCAGAUUAUGUAAUCCGGAAGGUAAUAACACAUCCCAAAAAAAAGCUUUCAAAUAAAUAAUCCGGAAGUUAAUCUUAUGUAUAGAAAAGACUUCUGAAUUAUGUAAUCCAGAAGCUAAUCACAAAAGACUUUUGGAUUACAUAAUCCGGAAGCUAAUUCUAAAUCUAGAAAAAGACUUUCGGAUUAUGUAAUCCGGAAUAUUGAAAAGGGUAUUUUUGGAAUACGAAAAUUUUAUGGGGGUGGCACAAGAAGGUAUGAAAGUACAGAAGAAGAAGCAGCCAGAAAAAAAAAGGCAAAAACACAAGUGGGCCAAGAGAGAGGCCCAAAACGGUACAAAAGUUUUCAGAAAAGAAAAAGGGUCUGAAACUCAAAAAACAACAAGAGAAAAUAAUUUUAUCACUUUAUAUUAUAUUCUAAUAGUUUAGAUGUCUCGUCUCUUCUAGUUUUAACAUUUUUCGUAAUUGUAUGUCAAUCACAGUGAAAAUUACACAAAUUACAGACUUAGCAAUAGUGUAAUCAACGUUAUAACAUUUUGAACAAAGAUUAUCCUUCUUUAAUAUUUUAAAAAUAAGUUUUGAAAUAUUUACUGUUACUAAAAAAAAAAGAUAUUUUAGAAGAAAAAAGAGAGAAUUUGUUAACGUCCAUAUCCAGUCUAGAAUUUUGAGAGAAUUAAUUUUAUAAACCCAAAAUUUGAUUCAAUUAGAAUUUGAAACUAUUUAAGAGAUCAGAUUAACCAAUUUUGUCAUACAGUAUGCUAUUAUAUAGUUUAUUUAUGAGACAUUUUAUAUAAUUAAAAGUAGUAAACUUAAAUGAUUAUACAACAACGACCUCUCUAUAUAUAUAAAUGCACGUGUUAAUUGAGAUAUAUAAUAUAAUAUUUCACUAUGAAGCCAAUAAAUUAUAAUAAAUAAUUCAUUUUUUUUACAGCAAAUAAUAAUAAUAAUAAUAAUAAUAACUAAUUCGUGAUUGUUUAUAAAUACAGUUUAAUAAAAAUACAAUAUUAUAUUAUGAAACCCUGGAUAUAACUAUAACUACUAUAUCUAAUUUAUUAAACUCAAACAUAUGAAGGAUCUCUGCCAACUGGACAUAAUUAGUGUCAUGAGAUGGGUAAACAACACCCAUUCCGAAAAGGAGUGUGUAUAAAUAAAAUGUGGUUACGAAAAGCAAUAAUUUAGAAGCCUUCUUUUUAUUGGGCUUCUGUUAUACAAACUCCUAAAAGCGGGUUCGUUAAGUUAAGGUUUAGGGUUUUGAGCGGCGUGGCGUACCAAUAUGAGCUUUAAAUACUCAUCCCUGAUCUUGAAAUUAUCAGAUUGUGAAUUCGUCGUUUUUGCAUCUUCCGUAUCUUUCGUUUCUGUUGCGAUUCCAGCUCAUGAGGUUUUGUUCGUCUGGUGUAGCGAUGCUUAAGCAAACUCGUUGUUUCAAUUAUUCUUUUGCAGUGUGUGCUGUUGAUUCGAAGAUUCGUUUCUCUUUGCUUUAGGAUAGUUAUUUUCUUCUUAUAUCAGAAGUCUUAAGGGGUUAGCAGCGGUGAUUAUAAAUAAUUCCUCGUACUGAAUGCUAUUGCCAUGGCAUGACAGACACGUUUACACCCAUAGAAUAUGAGCUCUGCCCCUUUUAUUCAUUCCUCAAUUCGUUUUGGUUUUGCUUAUGCAUUUAUUCUUUGUGUUUUCUUAUGUGGUGUUUGUUCUAUUUGCUUUAGAGGAGUAAGGGUAAUGAUUUGCAGAGCGUAUUUUGAUAAUAGUACUGCUUUGGUUUUGUCCAACUCCUUAUAUUGAUUGAGCGGUGUUUAAAGCUUUAGCCUUAAACCAUUGGGGUUGAGUUACGCACACCGCAAUAGUUCAAUUGGUCUCAAUUUGAUUUGAUUGGGAAUUUGAGUCCUGUUUUGUGUGGUGUAUUAUUUAUUUUUUGGAUUAUUUCAAAUACAUUGCAUGAUUAGUUUAAUCUCUAUCUGUUUCUAUCUUUCUUAUAUGUUAUCCCAUAUGUGGUUAACUGAUUAUGAAGUCCUUGUAGUCAUAUUUUUCUCCAUUUAAUUUAAAUUUGUUUUGGGAAACAUGGAACAUAAUCAUUGUAUCAGAUUAUACAUAUAAUAUAUUUUAGGUUAAUCUUUGAUGUUUUAGUGAGUCGGAUUUUUUUUUUAUAAUAAUUAAAUCAAAAGUAUUCGUAAUGUGUCGAUUAUUUUUUAAGUUUAAAAUCAAAAGCAGAAACUAAAUAAUAUCCUUCCAUAUUAGUUACUAGAAAAUCCAGCAUAUCAUUAAAAAUGAUGAUGCGGGUAAUUAUUCCUAUUUAGUAUGGAAUUAAUUACUUUAAGAUUAAGAAAAUCAAAAUUUAAUAAUUUAAUAAUUUGAUUGAAUUUAGGUAAUAGUUUUUGGUCUGGUAUUAACAUAUAACUGAUAAUGACGAUGGCGAAAUCAUAAAUAAAAUUGAGUAUUUGAGACAAAUAAGUUGACAAUGAUAUAAAUAAAAUUGAAUGUAAAUAGAUCGAUGCUUUUUUAAUGUAAAAAGUUAUUUGUUUUAAACCUUUUCACUACAAUUUGAAGAAAAAGUAAUUUAUUUUAAUUUUUUUAAUCCAAUCUAAACGUCUAUGUCAUAAUUUUUAAUAUAAAAUUGUAUUGAAUAUUUAAUUGAAUAUUUAGUUAUUUAAAAUUUUAACACGUAACUUUUAUAGGGCCCUAACACCAAUUAUUUAUAUCUAUUAAAAUUAUUUUCAAUGUUUUGGUCGCUCAAAAAGAUAUCGAAUAAUUCUAAUUCUUAAAGAAGUAAAUUUUUAACAGAUAAUGUUUUUGAUGAAAUGUAAGUGUUCAUCAAUGAUUAUUUCAAAGAAUGUUCGUUCACUUGUUUUUUUUAAUUAAGUGAUAGGUAAGGACAAAAAGAUGUGAUAAUAGAAGUUCCUUUAGUGUUAUGAAAACUAUGGUAAAAUAAAAUAAAAGAUGAA
rnacentral:lncRNA from 1 species